UAGGUUUCACUUGGCAUCCACCUAUAUACCGAAUACCUCCCGAUCAAACCCCUCUCAUGUGUCUUCGAUCUCCUCUUGAGCUGCUCUCACACGAACCUCAUCUCACGCCCUCUCCGUCCAACUCUUCAUCUCACACCCUCUUUGUCCAACUCCUCUCCGAUGAACUCUUCUCCGGUGAACUCCUCUCCGUCCAACUCUUCUCCUCAUCUCAUACACUCUCCGUCUAACUCCUCUCCAGCAAACCCCUAUAGCUUGCGAAGCAAGACGCCCUUUGCCACUUUUAACUUCUUCAGGAGGUUACUGGGUAAAGCAGACAUGCUUCUAUAAGUUCUAUUGGAAAAAGGAUUCUAUAAAUAUUUGUUUUUCCCUUGUCCCUCUUCCCCGGUCAAAUAAUCUUUUUGUGGUUGCGGGUCAAUCUUUUGCAUGUGGUUGCGGUCUGAUCGCACUAUUGUCACUUUGUUAUCUUUUUUUUUUUUAAUUUAUAUUUCCUAUUUCCAUGAUUCUACUAAUGCAUUCUCGUUCAUCUCUUGUCUCUUUUUAAAUAAGCGAACGCUAGAAGAGCGGAGAAGGAUGAAGAAGAAGAGAACAAAGGAGUUAGAUUCUUGGUUAAUAUAAUAUAAGCCUCGGUGUUGACGAAUCCCUCACUUUGCAUAGAAGCCAUAUGCUCUUCUGCCGCCGCCUCUAUCGUACCGCUCCGUCCUCUCUACCUCAAGGAAUUGAGCUGAAUUCCACAGAGAAGGCGUUCCUCCUCUUGUCGGUCAAUUUCUAAACCUAGGAGGACAAUCGGAAUCUGUCUUAACAAGGUUUGCCCGAUCUUAUUGCUCUGUCAAGACCUGUUAUUCUGUCGAGACUGCUCUGCAGACCUGGUCUUCUGUUCUACAGAUAUGCUCUAAAUAGACCCGGUCAUCUGCUCUAAACAGACUUGGUCUUCCUUUUUGUCAAGACCUACUCUGCUGCUCGGCUGACCCGACCUGCUGCUCGACCGACCGAACGACUCGGCCGACCGCCCGACCGCCCAACCCGACCGGCCGACCCGACCGACCGACCGACCCGACCGACCCGAUCAACCGACCCGCCGACCCGACCGGCCGACCCGACUGGCCGACCGACCGACCCAACCUGCCGAUCCGACCUCAUCUCGGCCGAUCUUCCCUCUGCUCUGCUGAUCCGCCCGCUCGGUAACACAGACUAGUGGCUCAACCGAUCUUCUUGCUCAGCAAUUCUUCCGCUCGAAGCAGAAACCAUCCCCUGCUGGCAGUCUGAGAUUAUCCGCUCAGACAAAGCUCCUCCAGUGUAAAGGAAACCCCUGAAGCACAGAACUAUGAGAAUUGGAAGGUCGAUGUUGAAUCAACUGAAGAUGGAUUGGUUUUACAUGCAUGUUAAUUCUCUUCAAAUUUGGAUGAUAUCUGGUUAAUGUUUGUAUUAAUCAAUGUAUCUAUCAUUUUGAGAACUAUCUUCGAAUCUGGAUAUGUUAAGUAUCUUCUAAUAUUGUUUGAAUUAUUUUGACAGUAAUAUUAUUAUUUUGGGAACUAUGUACCUAAUUUUUA